GACGAACCGUGCGAACGUUGUUCGGAAUCACUGGGCGUAAAGAGCUCGUAGGCGGCUUGGCAAGUCGGGUGUGAAAACUUCAGGCUCAACCUGGAGCGGCCACUCGAUACUGCCAUGGCUAGAGUCCGGUAGGGGACCACGGAAUUCCUGGUGUAGCGGUGAAAUGCGCAGAUAUCAGGAGGAACACCGGUGGCGAAGGCGGUGGUCUGGGCCGGAACUGACGCUGAGGGGCGAAAGCGUGGGGAGCAAACAGG
rnacentral:rRNA from 1 species